rnacentral:rRNA from 1 species
UACGUAGGGUGCGAGCGUUGUCCGGAAUUACUGGGCGUAAAGAGCUCGUAGGUGGUUUGUCGCGUCGUUCGUGAAAACUCACAACUCAAUUGUGGGCGUGCGGGCGAUACGGGCAGACUGGAGUACUGCAGGGGAGACUGGAAUUCCUGGUGUAGCGGUGGAAUGCGCAGAUAUCAGGAGGAACACCGGUGGCGAAGGCGGGUCUCUGGGCAGUAACUGACGCUGAGGAGCGAAAGCGUGGGGAGCGAACAGG